rnacentral:tRNA from 1 species
GGUAAAAUGGCUGAAAUUUAGGUGAUAAAUUGUAAAUUUAUUUAUGAGUAAAACUCUUUUACUA